UCUGCUGCCAAUCAGGACAUCACAGAGAGACACAGAGCUCCCUCCUGGCGGAACAAAAAGGGGCGGGGUUUCUCAUAAACUCAGUGGUUGACCGAAAGUGACUGUCGGAGUGCACCAUUCACAUUCCACAGAAACCGGCGGAUGUUUCAGCAGCGCGGCUUCUCGUCCUCGGUCUUGCUGACAAAGAGUCUUUUGAGGAAGAGGAGCUGCAGAUACCCGGAGGUGACGAUGAGGAGGCUGAGGGCUGUCGACCACCAGGUGAUGUACUGUGAGUUGGACAGCAGCAGGAAGUAGUCGGCGCUCUUCCCCAUGCGACCAAAGCUGUAGUAGCGGAAGACGUGGAAGAUGUGGUUCUCCACUUUAUGAGUCGCAUCCUGCAACAGCAGCAACACACAGGGUCCUGGUGGCCGUCGUAGUAAACACCAAAGCUGAGGAAGACCUGCAUGCUGCCAAAGCGGUUGUGGAAGUUGCUGAAACACAUUUGAUAGAAACCUGGAGGGAAGGAGAAGUGACAAUAUACUUUAAGUGCACACAGUAUAAAGUAUUUCUGUGUGUGUGUGACUUACGAAUGGGGCAAAAUGCAGUUCAACCUAAAGAAAUAGUUCCCCCAGAAAUUAAAAUUCACUAUCACUAUCUACUCACCAUUAUGCCUAUGGAGGGGUGGGUAAAAUUUAAAAAAUGUUAUCUGAUGCCAGGAAGUUUUUGUGUGUGGAGGUUUUUUACGCCAUUCAUCAGUUAGGUCUUCUUUUUCUUUUAUUUACCUUAUGGAGCUCCUUUGUUUUAAAGUCAACCAUUUCUAUUUUUAUGUAGUCUUGUGGUGAGAUUUUAGCAAUAUUUUGUUGUUGUGAGAUGUAUGAACGGAAGGACAGAGGGACAUACUGGUUCACCUAUGGACAGACAGACAGACCUGUUUCCUCAGCCUUGAAGUUAAUCUGACCCUUCGCAUCAUCAAUAUUUGCCACUAACAGACCACCAGGGGCAUUGACUGUGACGGACAGGUGUCUGUCAUGGCCGACUCCCGUCACCCACUGGACCUACACACAAAACAGAAAGAAGACAUGUAGAAAAUUAAACUGUUAACCAGACAAGGUUUGAUGACGAUAUAGUGCAGUCGUGUCUCUCAAAGAAAGGGGCACCAGUUUGAUGUUCCAGACCAAGACACAGUAUCUGAUAUACAAGCUCCGUAACUACUGAAAUAUUAAUCUCAUAGCUUGAAUCCUGAGUUUUUACACUUUGCUGAGCUGGAAUGAUGGCAUCACAACAAAAACCUAAUGAAAUGAAUGAAAACAUCAGAUCUGUGAGGAGCAACAAGAGGAGAAGGGAAUAUCUAUCACAUGACUGGAUGAAAGAAACAUUGUUCAGGCUGUUUAUCUCCAUCAACAAUCAACUCAUAUUCACACAACAGGAGGGGUUUGGAAACUUUAAUCUUAUUUAUUUUGCAAGUUUCUGAGGAUAGUGAACUCCUGAUCAUUCAUCUGAUGCUACCAUUAUGCCAAAUGUAAAUGUGGUGAGCAUGUGUGCAUGGUGAGCAUGUGUGCAUGAUGCACGCUCUUCCUUUCCCUGACCCCAUGAGCUCUUCGUAUGUCUGAAAUGCAAGUGUUAAAAUUGUUUGGGUAAUCGUUGUAAUUCAAGAAUACAGAACCCAGACAGUAGUAUUUUACUACAUUACAAUGUGUAGAGACAUAAACAGACCUUCACAGAACUUGCACCAUCUAGUGGUAGAGAAUUAAAUUUUAUCUGCAGAAUUCCUUAUCACAUGAUAAUUAAUUUAAUUUAUAGUGGGUAUAUAUGACAUCAUUUUUUUAAAUGUAGGAUUAGGUAUUAUAAGAGAGCUUAACAUCUAAUUCUACAUAUCAGUUAUAUUACUUAGUCGUAGUAAAAAAUUAUUACUACUACUAACACUACAUAAACAUCACACACUGCUAUUCUUUCGACACAUAUACAUUAUGUACAAAAAAUGACACCUGAAUAUGACAUGAUUAUAUGUAAAAAAUAAACAUUUGAACAUAUUUUGAUCUAUAUAAUAACAAAAUGUACCUGUAUUGUAUGGUAUAUAUAGGUAUAACAGAAGAUUUACUAAAUCACCUUUGAAAUAAAUCUGUUCAUGUUGCCGAGAAAAACACAUGGAGGCCUCUGCCUUUCAUCUCACCAUGUAGCUGAGGUAGAAUCGUUCUCCAGUGUGAGCAAA